UACGGAGGAUGCGAGCGUUAUCCGGAUUUAUUGGGUUUAAAGGGUGCGUAGGCGGCCUUGUAAGUCAGCGGUGAAAUUUUGCAGCUUAACUGUAAAAGUGCCGUUGAUACUGUGAGGCUAGGAUUUGGUUGCUGUGGGUGGAAUGUGUGGUGUAGCGGUGAAAUGCUUAGAUAUCACACAGAAUAUCAAUUGCGAAGGCAGCUCACAAAGCCAAGAUUGACGCUGAGGCACGAAAGUGUGGGGAUCAAACAGGA
rnacentral:rRNA from 1 species